ACCGACCGAGCCGAGGUACAUAAAAACCCUUACCAAUUGUCCUCAACCCUGUCUACGACCGCUAUUAUCUCAGCACAAGACCUAACAAUCCCAGCACUGCACCUCGCCGUUCGGUCCCAAAUCCCUUCAGUUCGUUGAAAGCUUGCAAGUACAAAUCUACUAUUCUCAGAUUGGAGUUAGAAUUUGUAAUUGGGUUUUCAAAGGAUCUGUUCAUCGGCUGUUCAUUCGACGCGGAAGCCAAGAAAUCCAGGAACAUGGGAAGCAGACUCGGGAGAAGAGUUGUUCACUUCGCAAAUCUUCCAAUCAAGCUUCUUAUGCCUACCUCCUUCACCAACAUCACUGAAAUUGCUCUUAAAACCACUCCUUCUGCUUCUAAAAUUGAAAUCAAGCGCGUCCUUGAGAGCCUUUACGGCUUUCAGGUCGAUAAAGUUCGAACUCUUAACAUGGAGGGGAAGAAAAAGAAGCGUGGAGGGAUUUUGAUCGCAAAGCCUGAUUACAAGAAGGCCUAUGUUACUCUCAGAAAUCCUUUGUCAAUCUCUCAGGACAUGUACCCGAUCCGCAUUAUAGAGGAGGAUAAGAGGAAUAUGAACAAACAGUCUAAGUCCAGCAUUGUUGAGGAGGGCGAGGCAAAGAGGCAUUGGCUGCAUGAGAAAGAGCCUGUGGGAAUCAAAACUUACAAGGGUUUUGCUGAUAGAGGCCGCCGACGAAUUGGCGGCGGCGCUGAAACGGUUGAGCCAUCAACUAAGUUUCCUUGGAGUAGCAUGAGGUCUGUGAGUUGGCUAAAGUUUGAAACUUGGUGAUCGAAAGAUUUGGAUCUCUUGCAAGUUCAGCUAGGUAAUUGUCUAUGAGUUUACACACAUUAGAAUUCCCAAUUCUAUGUUGCUGCUGUUGCUGUUCAAACAGUGAGUAGUAUUCAAGGAGCCUUUGCACUACUUCUAUGUCAUGCAUAGUGCGUUCUUCUUGUGUACUGAGGAGCAAGAAUAUAACAGUUCUGAAAUCAAAGCUGGUGAUGCCGAAUACACCCUUGCCAUCUUUAGCAUCUGCAACAAGAACCUGCACGAAACUGCUUCUCUUUGUGGAGGAACAAUGCUUAGUAGGCUUUCAAUAAUAGCUUUAUGUUCUUUGCUGCGUACAAUUCCAAGUUCAUCUUUCCUACCGCUCAAAAUACUUACUUGCUGGUCACUUUUGUCCUGUGUAUAUUCUCCGAGUCCUGGGGCCAUUUCAGUGCCUGUUAUAAUUCUCGUGAAAUAGUCUAUACGAAGUGCAGCUAAAUCAUUUAACCACGACCCAUCCUCACUGACUGUAUCUCCUACUAUGUUCUCUCUGGAGAGUUUCCGAGCUACCGAGUCACAGCACCGUCUCACAAUUUGUAGAUUUUCAGCCCAUGGCGAGAGACUCUCGCAAGUUUUGAGAACAGCCAGUGACUCUUUCCAUGACAAAAGGACUACAAAUGUGAGGAAGGACUCUGUCUUGCAAAUGAGGUUUCCAUCUUCGAAUUCCUCUGUCAUUUCCAAAAACUCUGAUGCACAUCUCAAUGGGGCUACAUUACUUGAGUUCAGGUCUACUGGGAAACCAUAACAGUAUUUGAGAACCAUUUCGAAUGCUUUCGAUCCACCUGGGAAGUUCUCGAGUUCUAGGUCAUAUCCUUUCUGGGUUGAGAUUGAAGAUUCAAGUUCCUUUCGGCCUAUGUAGCCACAUUUUGAAAUCAAUGUAUACUGUUUCAAGAAAGAUUUGGGGGGGGGGGGGGGGGGGGGAAGAGGUGAGCUUACAUCUUUCAUCAUUGGGCAACUAGAAUGAGCUACACUGAAAUUUUAGAUGGAAAUUUUUGAGAAAUAGAAAUGCAAUUUCUUUGUUAGCUUGUUCAA